rnacentral:rRNA from 1 species
GACGAACGCUGGCGGCGUGCCUAACACAUGCAAGUCGAGCGGAGUCGAUCGACGGAAGCCUUCGGGCGGAAGAUGGUUGACUUAGCGGCGGAUGGGUGAGCAACGCGUGGGCAACCUGCCUCGAAGACCGGGAUAACAGUCCGAAAGGGCUGCUAAUACCGGAUGUGGUCAAGGAUCCGCAUGGAUUUUUGAUUAAAGGGGAAACCCGUUUCGAGAUGGGCCCGCGUCCUAUCAGCUAGUUGGUGAGGUAAAAGCUCACCAAGGCGACGACGGGUAGCCGGCCUGAGAGGGUGACCGGCCACACUGGAACUGAGACACGGUCCAGACUCCUACGGGGGGCAGCAGUGGGGAAUCUUCCACAAUGGGCGAAAGCCUGAUGGAGCGACGCCGCGUGAGCGAAGAAGGCCUUCGGGUGUAAAGCUCUGUCUGGAGGGACGGAAGGAAGUGACGGUACCUCCGGAGGAAGCCACGGCUAACUACGUG